AUAUGAUAUAAAAAUAAAUAAUAAUCUGGUUUCAAAUUCCAAUUUGAAACUUGGUAUCGCGUGUAUCGGACUUGUGUCUCGGUGGCCAAGUCUCUUAAGCAAUUUACAACUUAUUUUCACGCAGUGAGUCAGAAGGAUAUAUUUAUAAAUUCGUAGCCAAGAAAUUUUCUACCAAUAAUGUGUAAGGUGUGAUUCUUAACGUUUCUUAUACAGUUGCGCAAACAUAAUGCAUUAGACACUAAAUAAAACCCUAAAAUACCACAAACAUUUAUUAUUUUUUCGUUUUGGCAUAAGGCUAAUGUUACACAGAUGAUGUAAAAGUGUAAAAAUGUGAAACGCAUAAUAUCUAUCUACGGAAACAUAAUUACCUAUUAAUUGUUUCAGAUAAAAAAUGAAAAGAAAAAAAUUACAAUCAUAAACAAAUAUAUUUUUCCUGUUUCUCACAUUUAUGGUAACGUAUUCAUGCAAUAAAAGCAUGUAGUCUACACAAAUAUUUAUACGCUUCAUAGAUAGCAGUAUCUCUGAAGACGCUCUAUCUGUGUAUUGUCAGACUUGGCCGAAGAUUCGAGAUUCGAAAGAAAAAUGGAUUUUGUUGCAACGCAAAGUAGCAGAAUAUAUUUUGCCUUGAAAUUGCAAAUGGAGAAUUUUUAUUGGAACAACUUGAAAAUUCAUAAACACAAUUAUUAACAAAAUCGUCGAAAAGGCGUAAAAUAAAAAUAAUGGGUAGGAUGCUGAUAAAAUUCCACUGGUAUUCCAAAGUUACAACCAUAAAUGCUGAACCUGUUUCAUCUUAAGGUAAAGCUGACCGACUAAGGCCGGGUACGAGGUAUACGAGUACGGUUUGGUAUAAUGACCUGAAGGUACGUGUGUUAGUGCACGGCCGACUCAAGGCAAGAAGAAAGAGUGACGAUGAGAAGAGGGAAGAGUGCAGGUUGGAAACGGAGAUGGCAGAGAAUUCCUUUCACCCUACCUACUUUUCGAAGCUUAACGUAAGAGAGUCGAAUUCAACGGAGGUGGGAUGAGAUGCCGGAGACGAGGGAGGAUGGAGAAGCGUAAUGGCGCAGGGAGGGAGUACAAAAAAAGAAAAAAAAAAUGCAUGAGAAAGAAUAUCAUGGUGGUAGACGAAGAGAAAAAUCAAAGUCUGAGAAAGAGGAAAAAUUAAACGAGAUCUCCAUGUGCGUCGAAAAUGACAGCCGAGAAGCGCUUAUUUCAAAGCAUCCAAGAACACCAAAGUUGUACGAGGAGACAGCAACAGGGUUGAAGAGUAAAUUUGCACGAGCGAACAAACCACGAGCAAAGAUACGUGCGAGUAAAAGAACAGAGAUAGAAAGAGACGGAGAAUGACGAGAAUGGAACGAAGCAGAAGUGGCACGAGCCCGUUGGUGGAUGCCAUGCGGCAUGAAGUUAACUGCAGGUCAAUCCGGUCAUCGGCCUCGGUGAAUUCUCAAGGGCCAUCCUAAGGGUUUCCAAUUUUCCUUUUACCUCAACCUUUCAUAAAUCAAUUUAAAUUUUUCCUGUAAAAAAGGGAAGCCCCUUUGCUUUAAAAAACGGUACUAGGAACUCAUGUAUAACCUCCAAUAUUCAAGCGUAACUGAAUAGGCAUUCCUGAACCCUCGGACGGCGGAUCAUGGAGAGAGCCACUCUUAUAUGAAACUAUCUUGUUUAGAAAAUAUACAUAUAAUUUUUUAUAAGUUUGGAUCACGAGUGACCCAGACUCUGCUAUGUAAAUCACUAUCCCCAUAUAAAGUGUAAAAAUUAUCAAAUAAAAUUAAUUGAUAGAUUGUCGUUGAUACUAAUUAACAUCCGUGUGCAAAUGUAUAGAUGCGUAUGCCAAUCAGCAUUCAGGGAUAGAUGAGGAAGCUAUAUAUGGUGAACUUACGGGACACCUUUUACAUAGGUAUGCGCGUAUACAUAGUGGCUUGCAGCUCUAUAUAUACACAUAUGUACACACGAAAAUUACGAUAGCGACCACGACCACGACCACGACGAACACCGCAAAAGCGGGAGCGCGUAGGCAUUUCCUUAUUUAGCAAGAGAGAGAAACGUCUUUGCUAGCGUGACCACUCUUCCAAAGAAUUCGGAUAAAUUAAGAGUAACACCGUUGCGUGCAUAAAAGCAGAUAGCUGUAUCAGGAAAUAGCGACUUAAAGAAAGGAAAUAAUCUGUUUCUAAUUAAUUAAAGAUACAGUACGUUACGCGUGAUUUGUACUUGGUAAGAAUAUAAAACAGCAUUGUGUUUGCAUCCUCUUCGUCUCUUGUUUAACAAAAUAUUUAAAAAAUCUUCACGUUACUCGGUUCGAACGCAUGUAUCCCAUCGCAAACCGUGAUUUCAUGCUCGACUCAAGACAAUGUUCCUUAUCGUAAGCUUAUCGAGAUAACGAAAAAUUGUUAUCGAGUGUAUGUGAUCUUAUGUAUUGUUGACACUAAGCGCGUGCUGACACUCGGGGCACUUUAGAUUACGAUUUACCUAUCGAAUCAGGUAGAAUUGAUUCAACUUCAAAUUACCGUUAUUCCGUAAAAGUUGGAGUGGCUAAGAGAUCUUACGAUACGGACAAACAUUACCAGGCGUUAAUCAAAGAUUAACGUAUUAAAUGAAGAUUACGUUUUAACGAGUACUUCCGUAAGCCGACGU